AUCCAUCAGGAAGGAAACAGAACCACCUGCAGCUCAGAGGGGAUCUACCCUCAACCUGAACUCACCUGGUCCACUGAGCCUCCAUCCAACACGGCUCUGCAGAACAGAACCACAGUCCAUCAGACUGAGGAGAAGCUUUAUGACAUCAGCAGCUCUCUGACGGGUCCAGACGGUUCUGAUCGGAUCUACAGCUGCACCAUCAGAACCAGGAGCAACCAGAGGAGAGCAACGUUCAGGAAACUAUCAUCAGUUACGGUGACGACAGAUGAAACGACGCUUCCCUGCUUGGGCCUGAACGGUUCAGUCUGUAGUUUGGAGAUUCGACCAUCAGAUGGUUCUGAAUCAGACGGGAAGGAACCGGUCCGUGUCAGAGGUGGAGGAAACAUGUGAGGGACGUUUCAGAGCUUGGAGACCUCAGUCUGCAGGGACUCGAUCCCGAUCUGGAGGGAAAGUACAGCUGUGAGACCAGCGACGGACAUGACCCCACGGUAACCCAGAUCACUGUGAAGAGAGACGAUAAAUCAUCCUGGAUAAUUUGGUUGGUGAUUGGAAUCAUUUUUGUGAUAGUGAUGUUUCUGUUGUGUUUCUACUGGAAAAGAAGAAAAAGUAAAACUCAGUCAGCAACAAAUAAUGAGUGAUUAUUGUACUGAUGGUUUCCUCCAAACACAUUUCAGCGCUGCUGUAAUUCAAAACCAGAAGGAUUUUUCUCAUAAAGGCCAAACUAUCAGCUUGAUUUGGUUAUUUUUAUUUAUGUUUAUUUUAUUUCAGACAGUCACUGUUGGCCUCAUCAGUCUGAUAGAGAAACAGAUUUAUAAUUAGAAUCUGUUUUAUUAAAAAUAAUCUUUACCUAUAAAUACAUUCAUGUGAAAAAUUAGGACAUCAUCUUAAAUAUUUAGUCUCUCCAAAGAUAAAAACAUCUUUUAUUUUAAAAUAUGUUUAACCAUUUUAUUGUUUUACUGCGUCUCAACAACAAACAAAUGACAUUUGUGUAAUUUGUUUAAAUAUACGGUCAAUUAAAUAGUAUUUGUCACCAGUCAAUCUUUCAUAGAUAUAAAAGAUGUUCAGCUGGUGCAUCAUUCAGUAUAAAAUCCCAAAAGACAAAAAUCACUGACUGAAUUUUUCCUUCUUACAUUUUAUUUAUUCUUCUUUAGUUAAACAUCUUGUCCACAUAUUUUAACUUUGUUCCAUUAAAUCAUUUUUGGGGUUUUUGGAGGUUAAAGUGUGAUUGAACUGGAAACAUUUCAAAACUAAUUUCAACAUUUCACUCCCAAUGACUGCAAAUAUUUAUUUUAUUUAACUUUAAAUAUGUUUGUACAUAAAUGUACAGUUGAAUAGAGUCUAAUAUGUAAGGAUGAAGCCAAUAAUUGCAACAUUAUGACUCCCUUAAAAUGCAGUGAUGAAGGAAACUGAUCAAAAUAAAUGUCACCAUCUUAUUUUCAGUGGAUUAAAGUGAAACCAUUAAAUCCCAACAGCUGAGUUUACUGCAGCUCAGUGAAGAUAAAUAAUCCCUUAAUGUAAAAUCUAAUGAAGACAAACUGACUGAUGAGGCCAUUAGUGUUUUAAUGUUUACAUGUAUAACCUGAAUGUUUGCAGCACUUUAAGUCAUGAUGUUGUGUUUUCUGCAGUUUAAUGUUUCUGAUCUAAUCUGUUGUUGCUACAUGACUUGAAUAAAAAUGUUUAUCUUCUGUUUUUGCUGUUGCCUUUAACCUCAUUUAUUCAUCUGAUGAAUCCUCCUGACAUGUAAAUAUCUGUAGCAAAAUAUUCCCCAAUGUAACAAGUUUUAUCACUUCAUUCUAAACAGAAACACAAAUCAUCCUCAUGUAUUUUGGUGAUCAAUGUUACGCUGUUGGAAAAAUAAAGGAGGCAUUUAAAA